GGAUCAGUUGAUGAGCAAAUACUGCAACAAUAUGAUGGAGAAAUCUUUAUGAUUCUUAGUAUUUAAGUCUCUGAUGAUC
rfam:Arabidopsis thaliana chromosome 5, complete sequence.